AACGAACGCUGGCGGCAUGCCUAACACAUGCAAGUCGAACGAAGGCUUCGGCCUUAGUGGCGCACGGGUGCGUAACGCGUGGGAAUCUGCCCUUAGGUGCGGAAUAACUCAGGGAAACUUGAGCUAAUACCGCAUAAUGACUCCGGUCCAAAGAUUUAUCGCCUAAGGAUGAGCCCGCGUAGGAUUAGCUUGUUGGUGAGGUAAAGGCUCACCAAGGCGACGAUCCUUAGCUGGUCUGAGAGGAUGAUCAGCCACACUGGGACUGAGACACGGCCCAGACUCCUACGGGAGGCAGCAGUGGGGAAUAUUGGACAAUGGGCGAAAGUCUGAUCCAGCAAUGCCGCGUGAGUGAUGAAGGCCUUAGGGUUGUAAAGCUCUUUUACCCGGGAUGAUAAUGACAGUACCGGGAGAAUAAGCCCCGGCUAACUCCGUGCCAGCCGCCGCCGUAUAC
rnacentral:rRNA from 1 species